ACGUGGUGGGGGUUUAUUCCUGUUAGGAGUCCGUGUCCCAUGUUUUAUUAUGAAUCUGUGUGUUUUCCUUUGUUUUAGAUUACUUAUGGGUGCCGUAUUUAUGUUAUGUAAUCUUGUAACCUUGUGCUGUGCUUUACUAUGUGUUUGUGUGGUACCGCGUGUCUUGAGCCGGGGGUCUAUCGGAAACAGCCUUUCUACUUCUUCAGAGGUAGAGGUAUGGACUGCGUACAUCCUACCCCCCAGACCCCACCAGGUGGGAAUACACUGGGUUUGUUGUUGUUGUUGUUGUAGUUGACAGUAUGGAACAAAGUAUACUUAUUUGAUAAAUUACAUAUUAUUUUUAUGCCUUUAGGUUGGGCUCGGGCUUAGCACAAGCCACCAAGAACUAGUAUAACUAUAACUAUGACUUUUUCUUUUUCGCAAAAGGCACAUCACAAUAUUUAAUAACAGAAAAUCACAAAAUUUUUACCUUAUUAACACAAAACUCUACAGUUUCCUAAAAAACAACCUUCCAGCAAGUGUUAAUAUUUUACUCUACAUUUUAAUCGUUAUUUAUUUUUUAAUCAAAUAAAGGCAAAUUCUGUUUAAAAUUGGACCAAACUAUUCCAAUUUUGAAAAUGUGUAGUUAAUAUAUAUUAAAAAGAUUUAUAUUUUAUUGGAUGAUUAUAAGAAACUGAAUUUUAUUAGGUAAUUGUUAUUAUUACUAGUUAUCAGUGCAUCAAAAUUAUCUUGUGAUAAUCAAUUUUGCGUUUUAGUGUAUUUUGUAUGAUGUCCGAAUAAAAAUAUGAAAGAAAAGGUAAAAAUAAGGAUAUAGAUUAUUAGAUUCAGAUAGUUCUUGAGACAAUAAUAACCAAUAAGUUGAAAUGGAAGAAAUAGAUUAAUGAUUACUCUACCAAUUACACAGUUUAGCCAAAAGCAUUAUACGAUUGCUAAGAAAUUAGUCAAUGUUUCAUACUUCUUUGUAGUGUCAUCACUUAAAAUCAUACUAGAUGGUGAAGUUUGCGCUAGCGCAGGCCCAAUAAUAAUGACGUAGCUAUUGUUUGAUCGCACCUAGAUAGAACAAUUUUGAAUUAGGAAUGCCAAAUAUACCCUUUUUUGCAAAAGAAGAUGGUAUGAUUGUGACCAUCUUUAAGUUUCAUAUAGUCAAACAAUAAUGACACAGAAUAUUAGAAUAGCAAAGUGUCAAGAGCAGAAGCAUAUAUUUGGCCAAAUAAAAAGUGUCUAAGAGCAAAAGCAGAUAACUUGGCCAAAUAAAAAGAUGGGUAGAGCAUUUAAAGCAUUGAGUCAUUCUGAAUACCCAGGAUAAGCAUCUUUCAAACCCCAAACUGGGGAUUGGAAAGCAAUAGGGCAUUAAUCCAUUUUCUUUUUCCUGUAUAUCUUUCCUUUUAAAUGGAGGGCCGUUUGCACGGAAGCGGAGCCAGCCCCGAACCCCCUUCAAUGGAAAAAUAUACUAUUUAUACAUGAUUAGAAUUAUUUUUUAUGUGGUUAUACUAGGCGUUGACACCCUUUGACUUAGUUUUCUUUGAAUAUUGAAUCCCCUUACUUGAAAUACUGGCUCCUUCUCUGCGUUUGCAAAUGUGGAACAUGACACCACGUAUAUAGAGUGAGAAAAUGGGUAAAUUAUGGUGUCUUGCAUUGCUUAGUAGUUUUCUUUAUAUCUUUAUACAUAUUUGUUCGAGGCAGAAUUAGUACCUAUCAAUGACAGUCAGUUGGAUUCGCUAGAAACACACCUUGAUAUAGCCAGCAAUUACAUUCCAUCAUUGUCAUUUCUGGUGAAAAGAUUAUCAAAAUUUUUAUCAGUCUUUAAAAUUUCACACGAUAGAGGACAAUACAUACAAAUAAAAAAGAAGAUUUAGACAAAAAUUGGAGUAGCUAUUAACCUGAAAAUUAAAAAUAAAGAGAAGAUUGAAAAAAAAAAGGACGUUGGUAGAGAACAAUUGAAUCGAGAAACUUAGCAAGAGUUGAAGAAACUAUUAGAGUACAAAAAUUUAGAAAUUACAAAAGCAGCCAUCAUGUAGUGAAUAGAAUUAAGCACAGAAAUGAAAGUACGUUAGAGCGAUCACUAUAAUGAUUGUGAAUUAAUUAACUUACCAUAGGUUGGUUUAAUUGACACACUUGAAUAUAGAAAAUUAUAUGAUGUUACAAAAAGGCUUUUUGAAUGAUUUCAUCAUAGACUAUAUUAUAUGUAGACUGGUCAUCAUUGCUAUCAGCAGUACGUGGUCGUAUUAAUAAUCUUAUACAGUCAGAAUUCUUUUCUCUUGAUAAAUCCACAUAUAAUUGACAAUGAGAGAAUACAGGCUUAUGCAAAUAAAUUCCAACAUAAUCUAAUGUUUAUCCUUGAGCUUUAUUUAUUGUCAUAGCAAAACAUAGGCAAAUUGGAAAUUAUGUUUUUUUUUUAAAUGGAAUUGGUAACUUUUCAUCAUCUGAAGAUAAUAAUGGUAUUCUGAAAAUAAAUACAUGUUUAUUUUUAAAAUCGCCACUGAAAAUUUUAACGCUUAUAACACAAUUCCUAAAAUCACAACAUAUUAGUCAUUUACCAUUGCACAAACCUUCACAAGGAUUUAAUCUUUUGAGUAAAAUAAUUGGGCAAUUUUCUUUUAAUGUUAGUUUGUAGAGAGGUUGACCAGGAGGAUUUAACGAAUGUGAGAAAUCUUCAAAUUGACUUUGAUCACUUGGUUCAAUAGUUUCAUUAAGCGAAACAAAUGUGCAAGCAUCUUUAGAAAAUUGAUUUAUAAGUCUAUCAUUUAGUUUAUCAACAAAGUUAUUUUUUAUUGUUAAAAUAACAUGAGAAGUCCAAAAAGUAGAAUCAAAGAGCUACUAAAAUCGGGGUAUAGUAUUUUGAAUAAAAGAUCUAGUGAUACUUUUUCAGUAGUAUAAGGAACAAUGAAACAUCUUGGGAUAUUUAUUUUGUCAUUCAUAUUUAUUUUUUAUUUUCCAUUUCCUAUUCACAUUAGAUACUCACAAAAAGAGUGAUCAGUUUUUGCAUGCAUAUUUUUCAAUAGAUGUAGUUUUUCAAGAUGAUUCCAUAUUUCUGGAUUUAAUAAGUUUUCUCGAACGAUGUCUUUUUUUUUUUCACUCCAAACGACAGGUAAAGUUUGUCUAAAAUCUCCUCCAAACACAAUCACUUUUUCACCAAAUAAUGUAUUUUAAUCCAUCAUAUCUUUCAAAGGAGAAUCAAAUGCUUCAAUCAUGGUUUUUCACCAUUGAUAUUUCAUCCCACAAAAUUAGUUUAGCAUCAUGAAUUAGAGAUGCUAAUGAAAAAUUUAAAGCUAGAAUGAGCCAUUCAUCCUCCUGGAAUGAGAGAAACAGCAAUACUACCAGGACCAUCUAUAAAGAAUGCCCCUGAUUUAUUGCUAAAUAUUCUCUGAACGAUUGUAUCAUAUGAGUUUUUUCUUAUCUAUUUAAUUUUUAUAUAAUAAUAAUUUUUUAUGUAUUAAUAAUUCUUUAUCCCUCACUAUAAUAUUUCUUUCCAAGAUUAUGUCUUUUUCUUCAAUUGCAAUUUUUGAAGAGUUAAUAGUUUAUGGAACAAGGUUGAGCUCAUUGAUAUCACGUCCCAUAUAAUGUAAUAUAUCAUUGAUAUGGUUUAAAACUACUCGAUGAAUAUAUUUUGUUGUAAUGUUUCCCACAUUCUUAAAAUCUUCAGACAUUGAAUAUUUAAAUUAUUUCCAUAAUUCCUUUGGAUUAUCACGAUUACAAUAUACUAAUAUAGUACCAAAUAGAUGUCUUAAACUAUAAGGUAUUUGAUUACAUAUAGCUUCUAACAUACAUUCAACUAAGUUGUUAUCUCGAUGUAAUAGUCCUUUUUUUUUCAGCAGAUUCUGUAAAAAUUUUGCAACAUAUUUUAUUUACUUGAAAAAGAGAGUUAUACGAUUUUGAUGCUUUUACAUUCAUUAGUAAUAAUAAAAAAUAAUAUCUUUCUCCUUCUGUUGGAUGACAAGUUACAACACAACCGAUAACAUUAUCACGUCUUCGUCGAGUCCACAUUUUAUAGCUAGGCAACCACACAAAGUGUUGGGGGAAAUCUUUAUACAAUAAUUAAGAUCUUUAUCAUGUUUAUUUUCUUGGUUCAUUAAGAAAAAUUUGGUUAACAUAGUCUUCUUAAGCAUUGGAUUUUUUAAGAUGCUAUCUAUUCUAUUAUUUUUUUUAAAAGAUACAAAUUGUUGUCCUUGAAGAUGCAGCUAAAGGUGAUAAACAAUUGGAGUUAUUUCACUAAUAGAAAAUGCAAAUAAAUGUCACAUAACGUUCGGUGGGGACACCUAUCUAGCUGAUUGACAUUCUUUUAUCUCAUUUAUUUCUAUAUUUGUAUUCUCUUUGUGUAAGUGAAAUAAAUUUUUAUCAUGUCCCUUGCAAAUAUAUUUAUAUAAAUAUUUGACAACAUUAAUAUCAGAACAAACUUCAAUAUUUAUAUGACAAUUAUAUUUGCAUAAUAGAUAAGAAUUGUAAGAGACAACCCAUGAGUUAUCUAGCAAAUUUUCUCUAAUUUCACAAACUUACCAGUAUUUCUUCUUUUGUAAAUUGGAUAGGAGUUUUUUCCUUUGGUUGUGUUGUCAGCAAAGCUUUUAGGAUACUUAAAUUUACACACUCCUUUUUUCUUCAUACUAGAAUUUAUAGGAUUUAAUUGACCACAAGGUCCAUGCAUCAUAUAUUUAAUGACAAGUUUACAUAAGUAAGAAUUGACUUUAGAAUCAGGUAUCUCUAUGAAAAUAAAUUUGUCAUAAGCCUCAGGUGUCAAUAAUUUAUGGUCAUCGUUGAGUAUAAUAAGAAAAUGAGCAUGAGGUAAAUCACGCUUUUGAAAUUUUAUAGUGUACAUAUAAGCUACAACUUUUUCAAAAUGUUCCUUUUUGCAAUGUCUGUCUUCAUUUCUUCAACUUUAGCUCUGAAUAUACGACUAAUUAAAUCAGGUCGAUUUUGAGCAUCAUUAGUUGAGAGAAUAUGUUGUUUUAUUUUAGGACAAGAGGUAUUAUAUGUCAUAGGUAGAAAUAUAUACAGCCUUCCAAAAUGUUGCACUAAUGUAAUAGUGUCUAUAUAAUGGAGACACAUAUCUCUUGAACAACCUGUGAAACUUAAUGGAAGAAAACUUUUUUAAAAUAACUUAGAAGACUCUCUUUCACCAAAUUUUAGGAUAUCAAGAAUUCCUUAUAGUAUAUCAACUCGAAAUAAAUCUUUAUUCAAUGAAGCAAAAUCUAACCUCUGAGUUUCUACCUUUAUGAAUUCAUCAACUGAAUAUUAUUGAAAUAGUCAUCUAGAAUGUAAAACAAUAUUUAUCAUCAUAUCUUAUUUGAAGUUUAUAACAAUAGUAUUCUCGACACAAAAUAACAUUUCUUUUGUAAAAUUUCAGCUCCAUAUAAAGCAGUCCAUCAAUUAAACACGUUAGAUAAACUUGAAAGUUGAUAGUUUUUGUAGCAAGCUCUCUUUAUCUUUUUUAAUUUAUGCGUUGGUUGUACAAAUUUUUGAAUACCACAAUGCCAUCCGUUUUUCCAUAAGAAAACAAAAGUGGAUAUUGUAAAGGAUCGUAGCAACCAUAGUAGUAAUUUACUAAUUGGCUCUUGUUACUAUGAGUAUAAAUUCAGAUAUAUGAUGUAAGAUUAUUAUUACUUGUUUCUUGUUCUAGCAUAAUGCUACUACUUUUGAUACACUCGGUAGGUUCUAUACUCAUUGAUCUAACUUGGUGUCACAAUUUAAUGCAAUAUAGAAACUUGACAGUUGUAGAACAUGUAGUACACAUUUUAAGAAAACACAAUAAGGAUUGAUCUUUAGUAUAUCUAUUAAUUUCUCAUCGAUAGAUUCUUUGAGUACAUUUGAUGAAGCCACUUAGUUUAUUAUUUCCCUAUUAGCAUUAUAAAAAUAUAGGUGCAAAUUGUUUAAUUGUUGAAUUGAUGGAAUGAAAUCAUUAAUAAAGUGAUACAUUUGUCUUUGUACUCUAAACGUGUAAAUAUUAUGGUCUCUUUUUGCUAGAGUUUUGUCAUAUUUCACUCCAAGUGAAGUAAAUAUGAACAUGUUAUUUUACAUUCUAAGGUAGGUACGAAAGUGAUCAGAUUUUUCAAUAUUUUCUAAAUAGAGAUUCAGCAAUUCAGCAGGUAUUUUAUGUGAUGUCAACUUAACUAUACCAUUGCUACAACAAAAUGAGGGUGAAUCAUACUCAAAUUCUUUUACACCAUAGUAUUUACAGUUUGAAACUUUUCUAAAAAUAUUUAAACUAUUGGGCAACUGCUUAAAGUUCCAUUUGUUUUUGUAGAUUUAGAACCUGUAUAUAUUAACUGCAGUAAUAUAUAACAUUAGUGGUAGGAAGUAAUCAAUAGUAAAUAUUGGUAGAAAGCUGGAGGGAAGAUGAACCUGUAUUUGGGGUAGCCAAUGUCUCCAUGUUGGGUUGUUCACAAGGUGGAGCAAAUAUUGAGCCUAAUAUACAAAUCAGUUUAUUUAUAUAUAAUGAAAAAGAGAGAGAGGGAAAAAUCAAGUUAUAAUAUUGUAUUAUUGACAUUUAUCAAGUUCAAUAACGGAGCAAUGGCUGAUAACAACUUUUUUCUUGACAAAUUUAGGCAUUGAUUUAUCAUUACAAGAUAUAUUAGUUACUGGAGAAAUGAAAAUAUUUUUACAAUUAGAAAAUAAAAGGCAAAUUGUUUAAGGAAAACACCUAUACAUAUUAGUUGUAGUGACAUAGUAUUAAUGGUAGGUAGUGAUUAGCAACAAAAGUUGGCAGAAAUUGAAGGACAAUGGAUCUUUGUCUAUAACAGGUAAUGUUUGUGAAUCGUGUUGAUGAGGUGUAGCAGAUGUUGAACCUAAUAUACAAAGCAUUUUUGUUAAUAUAUAUUAAAAAAGAAAGUGGAUAUUAUAAGAGGUUAUUAUUGACACUUAUAAACUUCAAACAUAGUAAAGUACUCAACAAUAGUUUUUCCUUUGCCAAACACAAGCUUCAUAACAUGAGCGGAAUUACAAAAUGUUGAGAAAUAGAAAAUUAUGUGUAACUAUAAUCGAAGAAAAAGGCAAACGUUUUUAUAUCGAUGACCAAAAAAGUACAUAAUAUUUUUUCCUGUUUCUAGCCUGUCAUAGAAACAAAAGAUGGCUCAUGUAUUGUUACUGUUGUUUGUCUGUGUAAGUCAACUCCAGCUUAGGAGCAUAAUGCCUCUGUAAACUGGUUUCUUGAUUCGAGCAUUUUUUAUCAUCCACGCGAUAAAACUGACUUUUUUUAUCCAAUGAAAGUUUUUUAUAUAACUCACAUCUUCUAUGGUUGAUGCUAGAAGUAGUUUCCACUGAGUACUGACGUUUCCACUGUUGUGAGCAAAAAAAUGGUGGGCCUUUUUUUAUCUGUUGACAUCUAUGAACAGAACAUCAGGUAAUGAAUAUGAUAAUCAUAGUCAUCGUAUUAAUGGUACAUAAAAUAUGAUGCUUGGUACACUAAGUAGAGAAGAAGACGCACACAGGAAUAUAUUCAUAUUUGUGCUAAAAUCGUCUCCUAUAAAAUAACAAGUAAUGAUGCAAGUGUUGUAGUUAUUAAUACAGUAUAAUUAGAGCUUAUCGUGAUCAGGCAAAGAUGAAUGGUACUAUAAGCAUUUUCUCUAUAAAACCACUUCAUUGCAAUAUCUUUACUAUCCCCACCAGGUAAAACUCUUCUUUAAGCAAUCCGAUAUCCCCUUGGCCCAAAUUUAUUCUUUUCAUCAAAAUUGUCAGUACAUUUCUUCAGGACCUUAAACUCAAAUUCCUGUGGGAGUUCUAGGAAAAUUAUUGAGUACAAUCAAUAUGUUUGAUUGUAACUUAUCAAACCUUUUGUUGUAGUAAAGAUACCCCAAAUAUGCUGUGGAAAAAGCCAUAGCACCAGUAAUGGAACCCCAACCCGGAACACAGCCUUUAACUAAAGAUUUUUUUAUCAAGAAAAUACUCUAAUUGUGAAGUUCCAUUACUCCUAUUUGAUGCCAAAACCCAAAAUAUGAUUCUUCCUUUACAUAAUCUAUUAAAAUAAGAUUAUAUAUUAAGAUGGGGUUGUUAGGCCUAUGAUUACCAUCAUGGUCAAACUUUGUCAAUGACAUAAAAUUUUCCCACCAAGUAUUACAUAGAAAUUUUAAAGAAAGUCAUUGACUUUAUCAAAACCAAAAAGUUUUGUCACCAAAUAUUCAAAUUAUAACACACAAAAAUUGAAGAAACUGAUAAAAAUUUCAAAAUCAAACACAAAAAUGACUAAAAGAUCAAUUAGUAAUAUGCCUUCAAUUAUCAAAAUUUAAUAAAAAAGGAUAUGGUUUCAUACUUAAUAAGACACAAUUAUUGGUCAUUUACUCAAGUAGUUUAAGUAGUUUUACUCGCGAGUAAAGAAUUCCCUGUGUAGUAGCUCUAAUUGAAAUAUUAUCACUGCUAUAGAUCUAACAUUAUUGUAGUAGCAGAAAAAGAAACAAAAAAGAAGAAUUUCCCCUCUUAAAGCAGCUACCUUCACCUAGAAAGAAUUUAGAUCAAGAGAAAACAAAGAUCAUAAGCUUUUCAAAAAGAAUAUUCCCCACUUCAAACAGAAUCACUAGAAAUGAAACUAACAGGAACCACAAACUAAAUGUUACCCAAAUACCUCCCAAAUACACACCCCCCCCAAAAACAAAAAAAAAAUGCAAAAAUCCUUUAUUUACAAGUUAAACAAGAAAAACCACUGAUUUUAAGACAACAAAAAAGGAAAAGAAAGACGCGAUCAACAUAUCUACAGUAUCCUAUGAAAUAAAGUACAGAUCACCCGUUAAACCACAAAGUUCAUAAAAAACAAAAACAACAAAAUUUCAAGAACAUGCAAAGGCAAUACAAACAAAAGUCAAGAUUCCAAGAGCUAAAAAUCAGCAUUUAGUAGUUGAAAAAAUAUUAUACCUGUGAACCUCAAGUUUGGGAAAUUGACGUUGUAAGAGUAAAUCCAAGCAGAAAUUGAAGAAAAAAAGAUGAAGAAGAAACAAUACAAGGAAGAAAGAAGAAGAAUAAGAAGAAGAACAAGCAGUAGCAGAAUAAGAGGGUGAUGGUGGAGUAGUGAAGCUUUUUUUGGGUGUAAAGAAUGAACAAUCCUGUUAGAAACGUUUUUGAGAAGAGGCGGUGUAAACAAUGGACAAAAGAAUACAAGUAGCAGUGUAAACAAUCGAGAAAAAAAUUCAUAAAAAGAUCAAUUUUCCCUUGGAAGCAGGCAUGACAACCCUGACAUGUUCCAAGGCUCUUCUAUAUAUUCAGAAAACAGUCAUAGUAACAAAUCAUUUUAUAUUGGUAAAACACAUCAUAAUCCUCCUAAAUUUUGCACAAACUUUCUCUUUGAUACUUCAACUACGCCAUGUUCAUUUUAAAUAUCUUAUGUAAGGUUUCAUUUUGUCAUUUUGAUAUCCUUUUUACAUUUUCACAAUCAACCUUAGCAUGUGUGGCAAAUGCCAUUUACGUGGAAAAAUUAACGAAUCCAUAUUUGACAUGUGGAAUUUUUUAAAAAAAUAAUCACUCUACUUUUUUUUUCUCAGAAUAUACAACUUCACGCACACUUAACACCACCCCCAUCAAUUCUUAUUCCCUUUUCACUGAUUCUUCAUUUUUAACAAAUUACAAAGUAAAUUUAACAAAUUUAUUCUUACCAACUUAAAUUAGUUUUAACCAACUUUUAACUUAUUAGAGAAGACUUGGAUGAGUUUAAUUUUAUCCAAUUUUGUUGAAAAAAUAGAGAAAAAUAUGAGAUUAACAGAUGAGAAAAAUAAGACAAUCAAAUAUUGGUAUUAUUGAAAAUAUAGAUGAAGAAGAAAAGAGAAAAAAUUGAUCUUUCAUGAAUUUGGAAAUUUAGGGUUAAAUUAUAGAAUUGAAAAUGAGGAAGAAGAUAAAUAAGUAAGGGUAUAGUCAAUAUUAUCGUUGGAGGGCCAACUAGGAUGCCCUAUAACAAAAACUUCAACGCAUCUUUAAUUGGUGAAAUACAUGUAAUGAGUCAACUGCGCUGAAGGUGCCAUAAUGAAACACUUGAACAUUGGUUUAGGUUUUUAAAAUAGACGUCUAGUUGAGAUUGAUAAUGCUCAACUUACACGUCAAUUAAAGUGCAAGGCGGUCGUCGUCAAUAUACUUACCCAGCUUUGAAGUUGCAGCCGAAUCCACGAGGAACAACGUGAGUUGCAAUCAAGUUAAUUCAAAAUAAUAGAUAUAAGUAAAAUUCAAACCAAUAGUACAAAAAUAUAAGAAUGAGGGAGAUAGGAGGCUACACUAAUAUUUCUUUUUGUUUUUUUCUAGUAUAAAUUUGGGGCUAUGAAUAAUUAGAGUUUUAACAACUAGGAAUAGAUCUUGGGAUUAUGCAUUACUACGGGAAUGACAUGUGAGUGUUACUAAUCAACAUCAAUUUAGUAAAUCUAAUAUGGGUAGGUUCAGUUAUAGAUUUUGAUGCUAGUAUUUCAACAAAACACCAAACUUUCACCCAUUGAUUCUUUCAAAUACCUAACGGGUGUGUUUAUCAUUUGAUAACCAAACCUCAAUUUAGGCAUCCCUAUUUCUAGGAUAAUACCCAUGGUAUAGUUAACCUCAUAAUCACCCUUAUGUCUAAGAUAGCGAAAAUUUAGCAAACUACACACAUAAUUGUCUAUCAUUGCUUUGGUCUCCAUAUCUCUCUUUUAAGGAUGAUUUGGAUUCUUAAAGUUCACCCAUAACUCUUCUUUCAAAGAUGACCUUGAGUUUUCACUCAUCAAACCCAUAUGGGUAUUUAGGGCUUUCACGUACAAAUCCCAAUGAAGUUAGCAUAGCAAUGAUAAAACUCAUAAGUAUGAACUACAAAAUAGAGGCUAAUAAUAACAACCCCCACACACAUUAACCCCUAUUCACACAUAACCCUAAGAGGGAGAUCUAGCUACACAUAAGAUAAAUAAGUGAAUAUAUACCCAUAAUAUCCAUUGAUAAGAUUUCUUGAAGCUUAAGUGAAUGUUACUUUAAACUUUUCAAUCCCACACAUCAACAAUGUAAGUGAGCUAUUCCUCCUCUUUGAAGGUCUCCAAUGUAUUCUUCACCCAAAAUUUAUACAAUAUUUUCUUCUCCAAAAAUGGAGGCUAUGAACUCAAGAGAUAAACCUAAAAAAAUUAGGGAAGAUGGAAUGUGAUUAAGAAUUCUAGGGUUUAAGUCUUAUUGUCAAAAUUGGGAUCAGCCAUGUGCAUUUUCAGAUUUACUCUUGGGCUGCAUUCUUCCGCUAGGCCGUGACCGUGAUUAUCUUCCAUGACCACAGUUUCUUAACUUUUGCUUGACUGCUGCAAUUGUGGUCAUCAGAUUGUGACCUCGAUAACUAAGGCCAGUUCCUGCUCCAAGUGUUCAACUGCAUUUUCUUGCUCCCUUUUGAUCAUUUUUAGCUCCAAUCCACAUCUUUUGAUCUUAUCAACUCUAUACCUACUAAGUGUGUAUAUUACUGAAUUUAAUCAAAAUUUUGUCUCUUUUAUUCAUUCAAAAUAAGGUAAUUUAAAUAAAAGAUAAGUGCAACUGAGUGGUAAAAUCCCCACUCAUCACAGAUGCCAAUGUAAAAAUUUGCGCCAAAUUUAGUAGUCUGGAGAUAAGUUUGGUCUUUUAUAUUUAAUUACAAUUUUUUUUUUGAAUUAAAGUAUUGAAUCAUUCAACUAUAAACUCUAAGUAGUCUUUAAUUAAAAUAUAUUGAAAAGGCAUCCAACAAUAUCCAAACUUUGACAAAAAUUUGUAACACGCCUUAACUUUGUGGGGGUCCUAUGACCCCAUGGACUAUUAAAAGUGUAUUUUAGUGAUCAUUAUUUUCACAGUUGGAUCAUUGACUAAGUCCAUAGAAACUGUAACACCAUGUAUUUCCCUAGCAUAAUCUAAGUCCCAAUGCAUGAGUAUUCGUAUAUGAAAUUUUGAAACACUCAUUAUUUUUAAGUUUAGAGCCUUUCAUUGCGUAGGAAAUUCAAUUAGCUUUCCAAUGAUAUAAAAAUUUGCCCAAAUCUGAUAACCGAAUAAGAAGUUAUAGCGAUUUUAAGUUUUAGUCGCAGAACCCCAUUAUUUUAACCUCUAGCGCAUCGUGGAGAAGGCCAAUCUUCUAUUUAGCAAAAUACAGUAAAGGUCUAUGAUAUUGGUGCAUCGCGCCAUAGGUUAGUUUGACAUUUGUCGAUUUUCAGUAUGACUUGCGACAAUGGCGCGUUGCAGAGCAGGCCAAAUUCCUAUUUGUUAAUUUUUAGUGGGCCUCCGUGAUUAUGGUACAUCACGGAGAUGGACAAAAUGGAAUCCACAGGCUUACCGCGAUGGUGGCACAUAGCAACAUUUAUCUAGGUCCCAUUUGUCCCUUUUCCAAUGGCUUGGCGCAAUAGCGGCGCGUACGCCAAGGCAAAUAAUCGAGAUUCUAGUUUCCAACUUGUGUUUUUAAAUUCGUUUAAGGGUAUUUGGGUCUUUUUUCUAAGUCCUAAACUCACCCUAAACACAAAUUUUAACCCAUAAUUGACCUAAAUACUCAUCAUUAUUCACUUUCUCUCAAAUUAAAAAUCCCCUCUUUCAAGAAAAAGAAACCCUAGCUCUCAAGAAUCAAGGACAAAUCUCAAGAACUAUCCAUCAAUCCUUCCAAAUUCAUCAUACCAGGUAUGUUAGAUGUUCAUCCAUGAAUUCCUUUCAUCCAUAGAGUCCAAGUAUCCAUUUUAAUUACAAAUCUAUCAUCUUUUCAAGAUCUAUGAUAUUAAAUUGUGAACUAUGAAUCUCCAUGAACUUCCUUGAAUAUUGAUUUUUAUACCAUACUUUAAUGGAAUUAUCAUUGUUAUCAAAUCCCCCAUGAUUUAAUAUUGUCAUUCUUCAAAUUAGAUCAUAAUUUAGUGUUAUAAAUGUUGAAAUCAUGCUAUUAUUUCAAGUUUUAUACUAUUCCCAUGAAUUGACUAAACUAUGAAGUACAAGUGUUUGAUAAAAUGCCUAUCAGAGUGAUUUAUUUAAUAAGAGCCUUCAUGUUUUGGCCUUCAAGCUUUAGUGUUUUUCCAGUAUUGUUGUUUUGAGUCCUGGGGGUAUUGAAUACCUGAAAACCAUAACUAUUUAUUUAGUCUAGUCUCAGUAUAUUGCAGAAUAGUCUUUAGAUUAUAUUAUGAGCAUUAUCAGAAUAGUCAGAUAUCAGUUAUUCAACUCAAAAUAGUCUAGUAUUUCAGUGUUUUUCAAUUAGGAGUAGGAUUUAACACCGAACGAGUGUAGGGAUGGUGGCUUCCAUGUCAAUUAGGCAGAGUUAUUAUUUACAGUCCUUAUACUCUAGAACUAUGUAGACAACGUAGAAUAUGAGUAGUCACCCAUCAAAUUAGGCUUGACUAUCUUGCAGGGGUUACUCGUCAGUUCAGGCUUACACUCUCAGUUCUUUGGACAUUAUAUCAGUUUAGUGAAUCCAGACAGCCAUUAUUAGUACCCGUGGAACUGUAUUAACACCCUUCCAGCUAGGGUUAUAGGUUGGACCCCGAUUAGCUCAAAUUAGGGAAUGUCGAUUAGAUGAUACCUCCCACAGUCUCAGAUAUAGUCUUAGUUACAAUCCCAACUUAGUUAUUCAGUCUUAGUAUUGUUUGAUCAAAGCAUACAGAUUUCAGUUAUCUCUGUAUAUAAGUUUAUAGAUUUUACUUAGUUUAUGUUAUAUGCUUGGUCAUGCAUCCAUAGUAUUUACAGAUUUUCUUACAUGUUCAGUAUCUAUAGAUUCCACGCUCUUUAUUCAGUACUCCAUGCUUUAUAUGUAUAUCCAAUUAAUUAUUAUCAUUUCUAUUUAUGAGACCAUGCAUAUCAUCGUACCUUAUUUAGUAUACUAGUACAUUCAAAGUACUGAUCGCAUACCUUUUCUUUUGCGCUAUGCUAUCUCAUAUCAUAGGUGUUGAUGCUCAGUUCCCGUAUUGUAUCUAGAUUCUCAGAUUUAUCAGCAAUAUAGUACCAGUGGUGAGUCCUCAUCAUCCAAGGAUAGAUUAUAUUACUUCAUGUCUUUAUCUCAGUAGUUAUUAGAGUUAGUUGGGGCCUGUCCCAUCAACUCAAAGUAUCCAGUUUAGAGGCUUUUUUGACACUACAGUUAGCUAUUUAGACUAUUCAAAUUUCACUAUUUUUAUCAGUCUCAUAACUCAGUAUUUAUUUCAUUAUUAAGACUUUGUGGCAUUUAGUUACUCUUCAGUAUUUAUCAUUAUAUUAUUUAGUGCUCAUAGCAGGUACCAACUCAUGGUUUGGCUUGUGGCCUCUCAGGACCAUAAGCACCGUGUAACGACUAGGGGGUUGUCUUAGAUCAUUACAAACUUGGUAUCAAAGUCUAAUGUUUUAAAGUGUCCUAGGAUGUCUGAAAGCCACGUUGAGUAGAGUCUUAUGCAUGGGUCUGUAGCACACCAUACUUAUGGAUGAGAGGCCACAAGGAAUUUAAGAAAAAGUUUCCCUUUUUCAAGUAUUCAUGUCGUGUGAUUGAGCAUAAGCUUAAGUUAAACUCUCAGUCUAAUCCAUUUUCUCCUUCUAUUUACAGAACCUACCUCCCAAUAAGAAUGGAAGAAGAACAGGAACUCAGCCAUCCCCUCAGCCCAUCCAGGCAGAUCCUCUGUACGAGCAUGUCUCUCACACAGAAUUUAGGGCUGCGUUUACCACUCUAGCGAAUUUUGUAGCAGCACAGAAUAAACGGCCAAUUGCUGUUCCAACCAACCCAGUGACCAAUACUAUUAUAACUAGAAUUCAGGAUUUCACCCAGACAAAUCCUUUUUCUUUCACUGGAUCCAAGUCCGAAGAGGAUCCACAAGAAUUCUUACAUAUGGUUUAGAAGGUCACAGAUGCUAUGGGGGUAACGUCUAGUCAGAACUUCGAGUUGGAUGCAUAUUAAUUGCAGGAUGUAUCCCAUACUUGGUUUAAGAAGUGGAAAGUUGAUAGAGGUUUUGAUACAGGGAUAAUAUAAUGGGAAGAGUUUGCCAUGACUUUCUUGGAUAUAUUCUUUUCGUUAGAGUUAAAGGAGGCCAAAGUGUUAGAAUUUAUUUAUUUGUGGCAAGGCAACAUGAGUGUGAGGGAGUAUUCUAUCAAGUUCUCUAGUUAGCUAGAUAUGCUCCUCAUGUGGUGGAUGACGGUAGGUCCAAGAUGAGUAAGUUUAUGUCUGGCAUGUCUGAUAGUGUUGUCAAAGCGUGUAGGACCAUAGUGCUGAUUAGUGAGAUAGAUUUAUCUAGGUUGAUCGUCCAUGUUCAACAGAUAUAGGAGCUAAAUUAAGGAGAGGGAGAGAGAAAACAAGAUAGCUAGGACAGGUAGGUUUAAUUUUAAUUAGCCAAAGUCAGAAGGUGGUAACUGUCCUUAGUUUUAUUAGAGGUCUUCAGCCCCAGUACCUUCUUUAGCCAGUUCCCCAGUACCCAAAUUCAGAAACAACAAUAGGGAUAGGGUACUAGGCUCUAAGUUCCAGGUCAGUGUUAAUAGUGCUCAUAUCAAUCCUUUAUGUCAGAAGUAUGACAGACUCCAUCAGGGUAAGUGUAGAGCAGGUAGUGAUGUGUGCUUCAGGUGUGGCAAGCCAGGCCAUUAGAUUUGGGAGUGUCUAGUAGUUACUCAUAAAGGUAUGGAUGCACACCAACAGGGCUAGUCUCAUCAGUCGUCAGUUCCAUUUGGCCGUCCAACUCAGUAGGGUGCCACUUCCAGUGCAACUAACGGUCAGCGUUCAAAUAGAUUAUAUGCUCUUUAGUCCUUCUAAGAUCAGGAAAAUUCUCCUGACGUAGUUACUGGUACAUUGCAGGUCUUUCACUUAAAUGUUUAUUCUUUACUAGACCCUAAAGCUUCUUUUUCCUUUGUAACUGCAUAUAUAGCUGUUAAUUUUAGACUCAAUCCCAAAACUCUAGCUGAGCCCUUUUCAGUGUCUACCCCAAUAGGCAUUUCUAAUGUAGUUAGACAGGUAUAUAGGAACUGUUUGGUCACAAUAUUUUAGAAAGUUACCUCAGUUGAUCUUGUGGAGUUAGAGAUGAUGGAUUUUGAUGUCAUUCUCGGCAUGGAUUGGCCCCACUCAUGCUAUGACUCUGUUAAUUAUAGAGAUAGAUUAGUUAAUUUUUAGUUCCCAAAUGAAUCAGUUCUUCAAUGGAGGGGUAGUACUACAACUCUUAGGGGUCAGUUAAUCUCGUACCUUAGAGCCAGAAAGAUGAUAUCCAAGGGGUGUGUCUACUAUCUUGUAUGAGUCAAAGACUCUAACUCAAAAAAUCCUACUCUUGAGUCAGUUCUAGUAGUAAAUGAAUUCUCAGACGUAUUUCCUGAAGAUCUCCCCGGAGUUUCUCCUGAAAGGGAAAUUGACUUCGAAAUAGAUCUUCUCCGUGAUACUCAUCCUAUAUCUAUUCCACCAAAUAUAAUGGCUCUAACUAAACUGAAAGAAUUGAAAGAACAGUUGAAGGAUAUCUUAGAUAAGGGAUCAUCAGACCCAACAUCUCCCUGUGUGGUGCACUCAGAAUGUUAUUAACUACCGUUAGCUGAACAAGGUCACAAUCAAGAAUAAAUAUCCACUUCCUAGAAUUGAUUAUUUGUUCGACCAAGUUUAAGGUGCUAUUUAGUUUUCCAAGAUAAACCUUAGAUCAGGUUAUCAUCAUCUUAGAAUUAGAGAAUGUGAUAUCUCAAAAACAUCUUUCUGAACUCGGUAUGGUCACUUCGAAUUUCUAGUCAUGUUCAUUAGUCUUACCAAUGCCCAAGGAGCCUUCAUGGACUUGAUGAACCGAGUUUUCAAUUUGUACUUGGACAUGUUCGUCAUAGUCUUCAUUGAUGACAUUCUUGUAUAUCCGCGUAGUGACAAAUAAUCAUGCAGACCAUCUCUGUAACAGCCCAAUUCCUGCGAACCAAAUGCCACACGGUGCUUAUGAUCCCAAAGGACCAUAAGCUAACCCUUUUUCUGAUAUCUGUACCUGUUCACUGCAUAAAUUAAUAAAAUACAUGCAAAAACUGGCUAACACUUUCCAUAAGGUUCAAACAUCUAGAAGUAUACAAUACCUUAAACCACACACUAAUACAUCUUUCUGAAAAGCCUCUACACUGCCUGAACUGUGGAUUUGAAGGGACAAUUCCCCCAACUAACUCCGUCUACUAAAAUCAAAUACUGUAAUAACAACAUCCUUUGAAGAUGAGGACUCACUGUUGCACCCACUACUUCUAUACAAGUGACUUCUAAGAUGCUCCAUGUUUCACUCCUCUAAAACUAUGGUGCCCCAAAAUAAAAGAACACCAUAGCGCCAAUGUGUCAGUACUAAGAUGUACUGACUAUGAAAGUAGGGAAGGCUAAAUGCAAGGGCUUAUGCAUGAAAAUUUAAUCAACAGAAUAAUUAUGAAAAUAACGAACAAGUACACAUAUAUGAAUGCAUAGUUCACAACCACUAUAACAAUUAUAACGACUCCAGAUACUACAGCUCGGAUAUGACUUUACUGUCCUCCGUACUCACUACUGUACUGGGGUACUGCAUUACUGAAUCACAGGAUACCAACACUGAUCAAUCGAAUACACUCACACCCCUGACUCUUAAAGAUUUAUACUGACACAGAAACCGUGCGAAGUAGUUACAUAACUCACCAUGACUCCUCAUAAGAAACUGAAUAUGUGGGGGUGCACGCAAUAAUUUGAAUAAUAUCUUUGAUUUUGUAAAACAUGCGUACGGAAAAUGAAGACUCACAUGGCUUGAAUUUAAUUAUCCAUACUUCUCAUAAUAUUAUAGAGAGGAGAACAUGAGUAAAAUCCCAUAAAUCAUCAUAAAAUCAUCAAUAUUCAUCAUAAAUUCUCAUGACUCAUCAUAGACAACCAAACUCAUCAACUCAACACUCGGAGCGACUCGCUAGUUCAAGAAACAUACUCUUAUGUACAGGGGAGUUUCCUAUAACCAAUAACCCCACGUGAGCUACAUGGAAUAACAAUAUUUGAAACCCCCAUUGGCGGGAGCAUCAUACUCUUUGCCAGGGAGUACGACCUUAAAACUGUAAUAAUCACAAUCGGGCUCUCUGGCCAAUAAUAUAAUCAUCAAACAACCCUACGGUGGCACAUAGGUUUGGGGAAAUACCAAGUUUUCCUCUCAGUGCUAAGUACUACUCCUCGACAAGCUCAGAACAUGGUAGGGAUUCCACUUAAAAACAUCUCAAGGGUCAACAAUGAUGACCAAAAUCAUGUAUCUUUGUCAAAUUUUUAAAUAAUCAUUUGUGGAUCCCUAACUCGCUCAAAUCAAGAAUAUUUUCCAACAUCGAAACGUAUCACCUUUUUAAACCACCAAAACAUCAAUAACACCAAAACAAUGCCAAAGCUCAUCAUAGCCCUUCAACUUCAACAUCAGCACGCCUCAAUUCACAAUCCAACUCACAUUUUAAAGACACUUGAAAUAAUAGUCAAUAGUAGGGAUACAAAUUCUAGAUAACAAUUAUCGAGUCAUAAUAAGGAAGUAAUGGUAUAAUUGUAUAAAUUAAGGUUUAAUAAUUCAAAUCAUCGUAUAUUCAUAACCAAGUAAUUUGGGACACAAUUCCAUUUCAAAAUCAUAUCUGUACCAAUUUACAAAAUUCCAUAUUUCAUGGAUAACAAUAUGAGCUAUAAAAUCAUAUUUUCAAUCCAUUAAAAAACUUGUAAAAUCUUAUAUCAACAUAAGUAAAUAAAAUUCCGAGCAGAAGAUCGAAAGGAUAAUCUUGUUCAAAACCCCACAUACUAAGUUCUCACGGAAUUCAUGUUAAGUUCUCAAAUCAUUAUAAAUUCAUCGAUCGUAGCACGACUAAGAUUAUCGCGAAACUGACUCAGCUCUAGACCAGCAGACUAUUUUGGGUAUACGUACCCCUAGCAAUCAAUAACAUAAGUAAUACGUAGUAUAUAACAACACAUACUCACAUGCCCACAGGUCAUCAUGCACUAUGCAUUCAUUAACACCUCACUCCAAUCAUUUGAAGAUCAUAUUCACAUACAAGUAUUGGGAUCUCAUGCCAUUACAUCGUAGAUCAUUCAACAAGGAUGCAUAUGGUUAAGGAAGAAUACAACAUAGCAUAGUUCAUCCAAUCGGGAUACACACAAAUAACAUAUAUUCAACACAUCAUGGUUCACUUCUUGAGGUUCUUUCCUUUAAGAUCUUGAUAUAUGCAAUUCGUCUCAUAAUUAGACAUUUCACACUUAGAGUGGCCUAAUGGCCUUACCAUUUCCCUUAGGAAUCAUAGUAAACACGUAGCAUGCAAGUAUGGUAUAAACUCAUCACUUCGAUCACAAGGGGUCAUACGAUCCAUUCUUCUUCAACUAGGCAUUUCAAAAAUUACCUUGCACGCACCAUUUAGGCAUAGGUCUGUAUGAACAAUUACAUAUGCUACAACACCAUCUUUUAUCUUAAUUCCACCAACUAAAUCCCUCGUCCGCACUUACAACCAUAUCAUAAGCCUUCCACACAACAUCCCCAAUUUUAGACAAUAACAUGGAGUUCAUAUUGAACGUAUACAUAGAAAGUAGUCUAGUCAUUUAAAACAUAUUAUAUCCUAAGAACGUAAAUUUAUAGCCUCUUAGACAAUUCCACAAACACCUUACAUGCACUUUAGGCAUUGGUGAAUUCGUCAAAUUCUCAUAUUUUCUGCCACCCCAUAUAUCUCAUCCAACACACCUAAUCAUCACAUGCAUAUAUCAACCAGCAUACACUAUCACCACACACACAUAUAUAUAUAUAUAUCAACCAACAUACAUAAUCAUCAUAUAUAUAUAUAUCAAGAACAUACAUAAUCCUCAUAUAUAGCUCUACCAUCAAAUAGCAAUCAACAUAUAUAUAUAUAUAUAUAUAUAUAUAUACACACAUAUCAAGCUCUCNNNNNNNNNNNNNNNNNNNNNNNNNNCCAUAGAUAAACACUUGCAUACCUUAGAUUUCGUGGCCGGAAGAGAUUGACGGAAGGAAUUUUCUAAUCAAAGCCUCCAAUUAAUUUCCCCUAAUUCAAAACCCUAACCCUAACUUGUUAUAUAUAUAUAUAUAUAUAUAUAUACACACGCACACAUAUACAUAUAAGAUAAAUGAGAGGAAAAUAAUUCAAGUUCAUAGUGGAAUAGGGUAUUUAUAGAGGUUUAAAAGAGUGGUGAAAGACCAAAAUGCCCCUAAGAAAUAAAUAAAACCCAAACCUGUCCUUCAGUGAUCUAUCCGAUAGGCUGAAAUAAAUUGGCCAUAACUUUUUACUCCGAUGUCCAAAUUGGAUGAAACCAAUUUUAUUGGAAAGAAGACUCUCAGGGAUUUCCGUUGAUAUAUACCAGCUCACACAGAUCAUUAUGUACAAGGAGUUAUGAUCAUUUGAAGUUGACCAAAAAAAAAUUGUUUGGCUGCAGUAUUUUUUUUCCUGCACAUUUUACUGUUCACAGUUUGAUCGGAAUGGUCGGAGUUUGAUCGAAAUGGUCGUAACUCAUCGCUCGAGUGUUCUUUUGGGUGAUCCAUAUAUCGUUGGAAAGCUUAUUCGAUGCUCUACGAAAUAGUGGGUCAAAAUCCAAGAAAUGACACAUAAAAAAAAUUAUAAAUCAUUCUCGAAGAUAGGAUUCAAUAUAAUUACGCUCAAAAUUUCGACGAAAAAUUUUUUGGGGUAUUACAUCAUCUCCCCCUUGGAAACAUUCAUCCUCGAAUGUGAAGGCUAGAUCAAGAGCACUAAUCAACUGGGUUUAUUCAAGACAACAACACAUCUCAAAACAUAACCACACUAUUGAAGCAACCAAUACUCUGCGUACGUUCACUAGUCAUGCACAUCUAUCGCAGAAAACAUUCAAAAACCCACUCAGGGGUAAAUUUUCACAACACACAUGCAUCUCAAAUGCACAGAAUCAUAACCCAACCAAUCUCUUCAAUACAUGUUCAAACAUGCCCACAAUUCGAGUUCUUUUCUAUUAAACGUGCAUAUUAAAUACGAAUAUACCUAAUGUACCAAAUUCUCGAAAGCAUAAAUAGAAAUGCAACAAACGAUGAGUUUAACAUCAUAGAAAGAGCAUGGACAUGCAAUUAUUAUAACAUUAUGGGGUAUAUCCCCCUUGAUACCCAAGGUCCCUCUAGACAUAUUUCACUGAAAUAAGAAUAGGUCGGGAACUGUCUCCCUUUACUGCUUUUCCAUACCUAUUGGCACCACUACUAGAUUCUGAGGGCCUGAAUUAUCACUUUCUCUAUCAUUCUCCUCUCAGCUUUAAGUCAUCGUCAGACACUUUUGAACACUUGGCUAAACCCCAAAAUAAACUACAACCAAUGUACUCUAGAGUCCGAGGCACAACGGUUCACAAAAUGAUAACUUAAUUCAUCCAGAAAGACUACACCUGAAAACAUAAAUUCAAUACCAAUGCUACUUCUUGGAAUACAACUCUUAUCUUUCCUUAGUCUCUACAAUCAUCAUCAUAUACAUACACUCUUUUCAAUACCUACUUGUCUCACUAAACAUAUUAUCUGCUUUGAUUUCUUCAUAGGCUACUAAUACCACACUCACAUCUUAAUACUUAGUUUGGAGUCCACAAACUUACAUCCUUCAAAGAUUCAAGAUUAGCUUCUAAAACAUAACAUAAAUAUCCACAAAUCUUUAAUAAACAUACUAUUCUUAUUCUAGCCUUCAAAUAUCACAUCUCUUAAACUUAUACUUCUCCACACCAUGAGAAUCGCAGCUAUAUCUCUAUCAAUGAGUACAUAUAAUUCCCAACUUCCACACUUAGAUUCUUAUAUAUAUAAUUUCAAGCCUAUUCAUUCACCAUAUAAACAGCUAACCCCAUAAGGCAUACUCUGCUCACUUUAGAGAACACUGUCCCAAAACUAUCUACGGGGACCGUCAGAGAAAGUUCUAUCUAAAGGACUUUCGCUUCACUACUUCUGUUACCUUAAGAGUAAGGUAAAUAUGACAUAAGUAGAUCAUUAUAAGAGUCUACAUAACUCUCUCAGAAAAUCUUGCUAUAGCACGAUCCGGAUCAUGAACGAAUGGAAACUCUUCUAAACAUCCCAUAGCCUCCCGUACAUGAAUGUGGCUCGCAACACACUCUUAUACAAGACGCUACUAGAUGUGGCUUUUCAGACUCCCAAGGACACUGUUGAACCUUAGGCUCUGAUACCAAUUUUGUAACUCCCCGAUUCCCGAGAACCGAAAUGUCACACGGUGCUUAUGAUCCCAAAGGACCACAAGCUAAUCCUUUUUCUGAUAUCUGUACCUGUUCACUGCAUAAUAUAAUAAAAUACAUGCGAAAACUGGCUAACACUUGCCAUAAGGUUCAAAUACCUAGAAAUAUACAAUACCUUAAACCACACACUAAUACAUCUGUCUGAAAAGCCUCUACACUGCCUAAACUGUGGAGUUGAAGGGACAAGUCCCCUAACUAACUCCGUCUACUAAAAUAAAAUACUAUAAUAACAACAUCCUCAAAUGAUGAGGACUCACUGCUGCACCCACUGCUGCUAUACAAGUGACUUCUAAGAUGCUCCAAGUUUCACUCCUCUGAACCUAUGGUGCCCCAAAAUAAAAGAAAACCAUAGCGCGAAUGCGUCAGUACUAAGAUGUACUGAGUAUGCAAGCAGGGAAGGCUAAAUGCAAGGGCUUAUGCAUGAAUAUUUAAUAAACAGAAUAAUCAUGAGAAUACCGAACGAGUACACAUAUAUGAAUGCACAGUUCACAACCACUAUAACAAUUAUAACGACUCCAGAUACCAUAGCUCGGAUACGACUUUACUGUCCUUGGAACUCACUACUAUACUGGGGUACUGCAUUACUGAAUCAUAGGAUACCAACACUAAUCAAUCGAAUACUCUCACACCCUUGACUCCUAAAGAUUUAUACUGACACAGAAAUCGUGGGAAGUAGUUACAUAACUCACCAUGACUCCUCAUAAGCAACUGACUAUGUAGGGGUGCACACAAUAAUUUGAAUAAUAUCUUUGAUUUCGUAAAACAUGCAUACAGAAAAUGAAGACUCAUAUGGCUUGAAUUUUAUUAUCCAUACUUCUCAUAAUAUUAUAGAGAGGAAAACAUAAGUAAAAUACAAUAAAUCAUCAUAAAAUCAUCAAUAUUCAUCAUAAAUUCUCAUAACUCAUCAUAGACAACCAAACUCAUCAACUCAAGACUCAGAGCGACUCGCUAGUUCAAGAAACAUAUUCUUAUGGACAGGGGAGUUUCCUAUAACCGACAACCCCAGAUGAGCUACAUAGAAUACCAACAUUUGAAACCCCCGUUGGCGGGAGCGUCAUACUCUUUGCCAGGGAGUACGACCUUAAAACUACAAUAAUCACAAAUGGGCCCUCUGGCCAAAAAUAUCAUCAUCAAACAACCCUACGAUGGCACACAAGUUUGGGGAAAUACCAAAUUUCCCUCUCGGUGCUAAGUACUACUCCCCAACAAGCUCAAACGCGUUAGGGAUUCCACUUCAAAACAUCUCAAGGGUCAACAAUGAUGACCAAAAUCAUGUAUCGCUGUCAAAUUAUUAAAUAAUCAUUUGUGGAUCCCUAACUCGACUCAAAUCAAGAAUAUUUUCCAACAUCGAAACGUAUCACCUUUUUAAACCACCACAACAUCAAUAACACCAAAACAGUGCCAAGGCUCAUCAUAGCCCUUCAACUUUAACAUUAACAUGCCUCAAUUCACAAUCCAACUCACAUUUUAAAAAUACUUGAAACAAUAAUUAAUAGUAGGGAUUCAUAAUUCUCGAUAAUAAUUAUCAAGUCAUAAUAAAGAAGUAAUGGUAUAAUUGUAUAAAUCAAGGUUUAAUAAUUCAAAUCAUCGUAUAUUCAUAACCAAGUAAUUUUGAACACAAUUCCAUUUCAAAAUCAUAUAUGUACCAAUUUACAAAAUUCCAUAUUUCUUGGAUAACAAUAUAAGCUAUAAAAUCAUAUUUCCAAUCCAUGGAAAAACUUGUAAAAUCUUAUGUCAACAAAAGUAAAUAAAAUUCCGGGCACAAGAUCGAAAGGAUAAUCUUGUUCAAAACCCUACAUACUAAGUUCUCACAAAAUUUAUGUUAAGUUCUCAAAUCAUCGGAAAUUUAUCGAUUGAAGCACGACUAAGAUUAUCGCGGAACUAACUCAGCUCUAGACCAGCAGACUAUUUCGGGCAUACAUACCCCUAGCAAUCAAUAACAUAAGUAAUAUAUAGUAUACAACAACGCAUACUCAUAUGCCCACAGGCCAUCAUGAACUAUGCAUUCAUUAACCCCUCAGACCAAUCAUUUGAAGAUCAUAUUCAUAUAUAAGUAUUGGGAUCUCAUGCCAUUACAUCAUAGAUCAUUCAAUAAGGAUGCAUAUGGUUAAGGAAGAAUACAAAAUAACGUAGUUUAUCCAAUUGGGAUACACACAAAUAACAUACAUUCAACACAUCAUGGUUCACUUCUUGAGGUUCUUUCCUUUAAGAUCUUGAUAUAUGCAAUUCGACCCAUAAUUAGACAUUUCACACUUAGCGUGGCCUAAUGGCCUUACCAUUUCUCUUAAGAAUCAUAGUAAACACGUAGCAUGCAAGUAUGGUAUGAACUCAUCACUUCGAUCACAAGGGUUCAUACGAUCCAUUCUUCUUUAACUAGUCAUUUCUACAAUUACCUUGCACGCACCAUUUAGGCAUAGGUCAGUAUGAAUAAUUACAUGUGCUACAACACCAUCAUUCUUCUUAAUUCCACCAACUAAAUCCCUCGUUCGCACUUACAACCAUAUCAUAAGCAUUUUACACAACAUCCCAAUUUUAGACAAUAACAUGGAGUUCAUGUUGAAUGUAUACAUAGAANNNNNNNNNNNNNNNNNNNNNNNNNNNNNNNNNNNNNNNNNNNNNNNNNNNNNNNNNNNNNUGUGUGUUGGUUGAAGUAUAUGUGUGUAGUAUUUGUGUGAUGGUUGGUGAUUAUGUUGUUGAAGUUGAUGAUAUCCAAGAAGGGAUCUUUGUAUGUUUGUGGAAACUAUGGUGGUGUGUGAUGUAUAAAUAUAUGAAAUGGGUGAUUGAAUACUUGUAAUCCCGAUGAACCCACCUAUGCCUAAGAUAUAUGUGUGGAAGGAGCCCGUAGAUAAACACUUACAUACCUUAGAUUUCGUGGCUGGAAGAGAUUGACCAAAGGAAUUCUUGAAUCAAAGCCUCCAAUUAAUUUCCCCCAAUUCAAAACCCUAACCCUAACUUGAUAUAUAUAUAUAUAUACAUAUAAGUGAAAUAAGAGGAAAAUAAUACAAGUUCUCAGCUGAAUGGGGUAUUUAUAGAGGUUUAAAAGAGUGGUGAAAGACCAAAAUUACCCUAAGAAACAAAUAAAACCUGAAUCUCUCCUUUACUGAUCUAUUCGAUAGGCUGAAGUAAAUUGCCCAUAACUUUUUACUCCGAUGUCCAAAUUGGAUUAAAUAAAUUUUAUUGGAAAGACGACUCUCAGGGCUUUAUGUUGAUAUAUAGUAGCUCAUAUAUUUCAUUAUGUACAAGGAUUUAUUAUCAUUUGAAGUUGAUCAAAAGAAAUCGCCUGGCUGCAGUAUUUUUUUUCCGGCUCAUUUUACUGUUUACAAUUGGAUCGGAAUGAUCAUAGUUUGAUCGGAAUGGUCGUAACUCAUCACUCGAGUGUCCAUUUUAGGUGAUCCACAUAUCGUUGGAAAUAUUAUUCGAUGCUAUACGAAAUGGUGGGUUGAAAUCCAAGAAAUGACACACAAAAAAAAUUAUAAAUCAUUCUCGAAGAUAGGAUCUAAUACGUUUACGCACAAUAUUUCGACAAAACUUUUUUUAGGGUAUUACAAUAUCAGAAUAGUGUUGGAAACUCUUAGAGCCCAUCAGUUGUUCACUAAAUUCAAUAAGUGUGAAUUUUAGCUAAGAUCACUAGCUUUCCUUGGCCAUAUUAUUUCUGGUGAUGGCAUUAGAGUCGAUCCUCAAAAGAUUGAGGUAGUGAGAAACUAUCCUAGACCCAUAUCUCUAUCAGAUAUCAGGAGUUUCUUGUGUUUAGCUGGAUAUUACCAUGGGUUUGUUAAAGGGUUUUCGUAUAUAGCAUCCCCCAUGUCUAGAUUGACUCAAAAUAAAGUUAAGUUUUAGUGGUCAGAUUCAUGAAAGAAGAGUUUUCAAGAGUUGACCACAGCGCCAGUUCUUACUCUACUAGAUGGUUCAGAUAGUUUGUUUCGUACUGUGAUACAUCCAAAGUAGGUUUGGGUUAUGUCCUCAUACAGAGAGGUAAGUUCAUAUCUUAUGCCUCCAGACAACUCAAGCCUCUUGAGAAGAAUUAUCCCACUCAUGAUCUUGAGCUAGCAGCAGAAGUAUUCGCCUUAAAGAUUUGGAGACAUUACUUGUAUGAGGUGCAUAUAGAUGUGUUCGUAGAUCAUAAAAGCCUUUCAGUAUGUGUUCUCUCAUAAAGAUUUGAAUUUGCAUUAGAGAAGGUGGUUAGAUUUAUUAAAAAAUUAUGACAUGAGUAUUCUGUAUCACCCGAGUAAGGCCAAUAUAGUGCCCGAUGCUCUCAGUAGAAUGUUUAUGGGUAGUGUAGUUUCUGUUGAGGAUGGUAAGAAGAAGUUAGCUCAGAAAGUUCAUCGGCUUGCCCGACUAGGUGUUCGUUUACUCAAUUCAGCAGAAGGUAGUAUAUGGGUACAGAGUAGCCCAGAGUCAUCUCUAGUUUCUGAGGUGAAGGUAAAGUAGGAUAGAGGUCCCAGUCUAGUCAAGUUGAAAGAAUCAGUCAGAGAUCAGAAAGUAAAGGUUUUCUCCCAAGGGGAGAUAGUGUUUUAUGUGUUUUUGGGUAGGUUAUUUGUGCCUGACGUAGAUGAGUUGAGGCAAUGAAUUCUUACAGAAGUGCAUAGUGCGCGUUGCUUUAUUCAUCUAGGGGCCAAUCAGAUGUACCACGAUUUACGGAGAUCUAUUAGUGGAGUAGAGUGAAUAAAGAUAUUGUAAAGUUUGUAGCUAAGUGCUCUACAUGCCAGUAAGUUAAGAUUGAGCACCAGAAGCCUAGUGGGUCCAUGCAGGAGUUCAGUAAUUCUAUGUGGAAAUAGGAGAAAGUACCCGUCAUCUGUAUAAGUCUAUUUGGGUUAUCAUAGAUAGAAUGACCAAAUCAGCUCAUUUGUUGCCAGUCCAUACCUCUUACUUAUCCGAGCACUAUGCCAAUCUCUAUCUCAGCGAGUUGAUUAGGUUUCACAAUGUUCCCUUAUCUAUCACCUCAAAUAGAGGUACUCAGUUUACCUCUCACUUCUAGAAAGCAUUCCAAAAGGGUUUUGGUUUCUAAGUCCACCUCAGUACAACCUUUCACCCUCAGACAGAUGGUCAACUAGAACUAACCAUUCAGACUCUUAAGGAUAUACUGAGAGCAUGCAUUGUUGAUUUCAAUGGUAGUUGGGAUGACCAUUUUUCUUUGAUUGAAUUUACAUAUAAUAAUAGCUAUUAUUCCAGUAUUCAUAUGGCCUCAUUUGAGGCUCUCUAUGGUAGGAGAUGUAGAUCUUAAAUUGGUUGGUUUAAACUAGGUGAGGCUGUAGCAGUAGGGCCUGAUUUGGUGUUUGAUACGUUAGAGAAGGUUUAUUUGAUCAGAGAAAGUCUUAGGGCUGCCUAGAGCCGACAGAAAUCAUAUAAAGAUGUGAGGAGAAAGGAUCUCGAGUUUGAGUUCAGUGAUCUUAUGUUCUUAAAAAUAUCUCCCAUGAAGGGAUUGAAGAGAUUCGGCAAGAAAGGAAAACUCAGUCCCUGAUAUGUCAGUCUAUAUAGAAUCCUCAAACCUUUCAAAAAGGUAGCUAACGAGAUAGAGUUGCUUUCAGAUUUAUCCUUGGUACAUGUAGUGUUCCAUGUCUCAUUGUUGAAAAAGUGUAUUGGUGAUC
rnacentral:lncRNA from 1 species